AUUGAACGCUGGCGGCAUGCCUUACACAUGCAAGUCGAACGGCAGCACGGGGGCAACCCUGGUGGCGAGUGGCGAACGGGUGAGUAAUGCAUCGGAACGUACCCGGAAGUGGGGGAUAACGUAGCGAAAGUUACGCUAAUACCGCAUAUUCUGUGAGCAGGAAAGAGGGGGAUCGCAAGACCUCUUGCUUUCGGAGCGGCCGAUGUCGGAUUAGCUAGUUGGUGGGGUAAAGGCCUACCAAGGCGACGAUCCGUAGCUGGUCUUAGAGGAUGAUCAGCCACACUGGGACUGAGACCCGGCCCAGACUCCUACGGGAGGCAGCAGUGGGGAAUUUUGGACAAUGGGGGCAACCCUGAUCCAGCCAUGCCGCGUGAGUGAAGAAGGCCUUCGGGUUGUAAAGCUCUUUCGGACAGAAAGAAAUCGCACGAUCUAAUACAUUGUGUGGAUGACGGUACUGUCAUAAGAAGCACCGGCUAACUACGUGCCAGCAGCCGCCGUAACAC
rnacentral:rRNA from 1 species